UACGUAGGGUGCGAGCGUUGUCCGGAAUUACUGGGCGUAAAGAGCUCGUAGGUGGUUUGUCGCGUUGUUCGUGAAAACCGGGGGCUUAACCCUCGGCGUGCGGGCGAUACGGGCAGACUGGAGUACUGCAGGGGAGACUGGAAUUCCUGGUGUAGCGGUGGAAUGCGCAGAUAUCAGGAGGAACACCGAUGGCGAAGGCAGGUCUCUGGGCAUUAACUGACGCUGAGGAGCGAAAGCAUGGGGAGCGAACAGG
rnacentral:rRNA from 1 species